UGGGGAAUUUUGGACAAUGGGCGAAAGCCUGAUCCAGCAAUGCCGCGUGUGUGAAGAAGGCCUUCGGGUUGUAAAGCACUUUUGUCCGGAAAGAAAUCCUUGGCUCUAAUACAGUCGGGGGAUGACGGUACCGGAAGAAUAAGCACCGGCUAACUACGUGCCAGCAGCCGCGGUAAUACGUAGGGUGCAAGCGUUAAUCGGAAUUACUGGGCGUAAAGCGUGCGCAGGCGGUUUGCUAAGACCGAUGUGAAAUCCCCGGGCUCAACCUGGGAACUGCAUUGGUGACUGGCAGGCUAGAGUAUGGCAGAGGGGGGUAGAAUUCCACGUGUAGCAGUGAAAUGCGUAGAGAUGUGGAGGAAUACCGAUGGCGAAGGCAGCCCCCUGGGCCAAUACUGACGCUCAUGCACGAAAGCGUGGGGAGCAAACAGGAUUAGAUACCCUGGUAGUCCACGCCCUAAACGAUGUCAACUAGUUGUUGGGGAUUCAUUUCCUUAGUAACGUAGCUAACGCGUGAAGUUGACCGCCUGGGGAGUACGGUCGCAAGAUUAAACUCAAUGAAUUGACGGGGUCAUAGCUG
rnacentral:rRNA from 1 species